rnacentral:rRNA from 1 species
GAUGAACGCUGGCGGCGUGUCUAAUACAUGCAAGUCGAGCGAACAGACGAGGAGCUUACUCCUCUGACGUUAGCGGCGGACGGGUGAGUAACACGUGGAUAACCUACCUAUAAGACUGGGAUAACUUCGGGAAACCGGAGCUAAUACCGGAUAACAUGUUGAACCGCAUGGUUCAACAGUGAAAGACGGUCUUGCUGUCACUUAUAGAUGGAUCCGCGUCGCAUUAGCUAGUUGGUAAGGUAACGGCUUACCAAGGCAACGAUGCGUAGCCGACCUGAGAGGGUGAUCGGCCACACUGGAACUGAGACACGGUCCAGACUCCUACGGGAGGCAGCAGUAGGGAAUCUUCCGCAAUGGGCGAAAGCCUGACGGAGCAACGCCGCGUGAGUGAAGAAGGUCUUCGGAUCGUAAAACUCUGUUAUUAGGGAAGAACAAAUGUGUAAGUAACUAUGCACGUCUUGACGGUACCUAAUCAGAAAGCCACGGCUAACUACGUG